rnacentral:rRNA from 1 species
GACGAACGCUGGCGGCGUGCCUAAUACAUGCAAGUAGAACGCUGAAGGAGGAGCUUGCUUCUCUGGAUGAGUUGCGAACGGGUGAGUAACGCGUAGGUAACCUGCCUGGUAGCGGGGGAUAACUAUUGGAAACGAUAGCUAAUACCGCAUAAUAGCAGUUAUUGCAUGAUAACUGUUUGAAAGGUGCAAUUGCACCACUACCAGAUGGACCUGCGUUGUAUUAGCUAGUUGGUGGGGUAACGGCUCACCAAGGCGACGAUACAUAGCCGACCUGAGAGGGGGAUCGGCCACACUGGGACUGGGACACGGCCCAGACGCCUACGGGAGGCAGCAGUAGGGAAUCUUCGGCAAUGGACGGAAGUCUGACCGAGCAACGCCGCGUGAGUGAAGAAGGUUGUCGGAUCGUAAAGCUCUGUUGUAAGAGAAGAACGAGUGUGAGAGUGGAAAGUUCACACUGUGACGGUAUCUUACCAGAAAGGGACGGCUAACUACGUG